AGCGAACGCUGGCGGCAGGCUUAACACAUGCAAGUCGAACGCUCGUAGCAAUACGGGAGUGGCAGACGGGUGAGUAACGCGUGGGAACAUGCCCUUUGGUUCGGAAUAACUCAGGGAAACUUGAGCUAAUACCGGAUAAGCCCGAGAGGGGAAAGAUUUAUCGCCGAAGGAUUGGCCCGCGUCCGAUUAGCUAGUUGGUGAGGUAACGGCUCACCAAGGCGACGAUCGGUAGCUGGUCUGAGAGGAUGAUCAGCCACACUGGGACUGAGACACGGCCCAGACUCCUACGGGAGGCAGCAGUGGGGAAUAUUGGACAAUGGGGGCAACCCUGAUCCAGCCAUGCCGCGUGAGUGAUGAAGGCCUUAGGGUUGUAAAGCUCUUUCGGCGGGGACGAUAAUGACGGUACCCGCAGAAGAAGCCCCGGCUAACUUCGUGCCAGCCGCCGCAGUAA
rnacentral:rRNA from 1 species